UACGGAGGGUGCAAGCGUUGUCCGGAAUCACUGGGCGUAAAGGGCGCGUAGGCGGCUCAUGAAGGCUGUGGUGAAAGUCCGGGGCUCAACCUCGGAUCGGCCGUGGCGACUCGUGGGCUGGAGCACUGUAGGGGCGGGUGGAAUUCCGGGUGUAGCGGUGGAAUGCGUAGAGAUCCGGAAGAACACCGGUGGCGAAGGCGGUCUGCUGGGCAGUUGCUGACACUGAGGCGCGACAGCGUGGGGAGCAAACAGG
rnacentral:rRNA from 1 species